rnacentral:lncRNA from 1 species
GUGAACCAGAAGUGAGCUCCCCCCAAAAUAAAAUAGCUUAGUUUUGAGUUGUGAUCCAUUUUCUUCCCUUUGAAAUUUUACUGAUUGUUAAUAUUUCCUCGCAAUGCAGAGGAAUGACAUGGUUGAGUACUUUGGUGAGCAAUUGUCUGGUUUUGCCUUCACUGCUAAUGGCUGGGUCCAAUCUUACGGUUCUCGCUGCGUCAAGCCUCCUAUCAUCUAUGGUGAUGUGAGCCGCCCCAAGGCCAUGACUGUGUUCUGGUCUUCGUUGGCUCAAAGUAUGACUAAGCGACCCAUGAAGGGAAUGCUUACUGGUCCUGUUACCAUUUUGAACUGGUCCUUUGUCAGAAAUGACCAGCCCAGGUAGGAAUAAAAAUAUAACUAAUAUAACCAUGCUUGGUUUGCAGGCUGUUAAUUUAAUAUAUUGACAAUACCUAUCUAUGUUUGUACUAGAUUUGAGACCUGUUAUCAAAUUGCUUUGGCCAUCAAGGAUGAGGUUGAGGAUCUUGAGAAAGCCGGAAUUACGGUCAUCCAGAUUGAUGAAGCUGCUUUGAGAGAGGGCUUGCCCCUAAGGAAGUCCGAGCAUGCUUUUUAUUUGAACUGGGCUGUUCACUCUUUCAGGAUCACUAAUUGUGGUGUUGAAGACUCUACCCAGGUUCUUUCCUCCUCCUCAGUGUGUGUGUGUGUGCGUGUUUGUUUUUUGAAAGAUACACAUUGGAUGUUGGGCUAAAUGGUGGGAGGUAAAUCCAUCCCCCACCCAUUCUAUAAUCUUUAACUUUAAAAUUCAAGUCGGAAGUACCAGGUGAGCAGUCCCCUGGGAAUACUCGGUGGUGCUAUAGGCACACCUAUUAGUUUGUUGGCACAACUUCAAAUGAAAUGUCAAAAGUAUCCAAUAAAUUUUAUGGAAAUUGAAUGGAGAGUAGGUACAUUUAUAAAGGAUAGUGACAGUUAACCUUAAAAAAAUGUAGUGCCAACAUCACCACCCCACCCCUAAAAUCCCAAGAUCAUGAUUUAGACUUAAAUGUUCGGUGGGCAUUAUACCACCACUGAAACUUGCAAAUUCAGGAAAAUUCUCCUACGGAGAUUUUGGUGCAUGUAGUGAACUGUAUAGCAUCCUAGAUUUUGGGGAGAGGGGUGGGUGGAAGGUGUGCUUUUGUAUGGCUGUACUGGCAUCUCUUUGCUGGAUUAAUAAUGCUAGUAGCACUUGUUGAUGAUGCUACAACAAUGUCUUGGACAGAUCCACACCCACAUGUGCUACUCUAACUUCAAUGACAUCAUUCACUCAAUCAUUGACAUGGAUGCUGAUGUGAUCACCAUCGAGAACUCCAGAUCAGACGAGAAGCUUCUCUCAGUCUUCCGCGAGGGUGUGAAAUAUGGAGCAGGCAUUGGCCCUGGUGUUUAUGAUAUUCACUCUCCUAGGAUCCCCUCAGAAGAAGAAAUUGCCGACCGUGUUGAGAAGAUGCUUGCUGUCCUUGAAUGCAACAUUCUCUGGGUCAACCCUGAUUGUGGUCUAAAGACCCGCAAGUAUGCUGAAGUCAAACCUGCCCUCAGCAACAUGGUUGCAGCUGCCAAGCGUCUCCGUACCAAGUUUGCAAGUUCCCAGUGAGUUCAGGAAGUGUCGACGAAUUCAGACUGAAAGUGACGAAGAAUUCAGACUGAAAGUCCAGUGAGUUCAGGAAGUGUUGACGAAUUCAGACAGAAAGGA